rnacentral:tRNA from 1 species
GCGCAAAAGCGAUGGCGUAUGCGUUAAUGCAGAUUGCACUGGCCGAACAGCGCGAUUGUUACGUGAUCAUUUU